rfam:Schistosoma mattheei strain Denwood, Zambia genome assembly, scaffold: SMTD_scaffold0000944
AUACUCGAUUCCGCAGUACAUAUGUUAAAAUUGGAAAGAUACAGAGAAGAUUAGCAUGGUCCCUGCGCAAGGAUGACACGCAAAAUCGUGAAGCGUUCCAUAUUACU